CCAGUCCAUGCAGUUUCUUCUCUCCUGUACUCUUCAGUAGGUCAAGGUCCCCUGACAACAUCAUCACGAUAAUUGCAUCAUAACUGAGGAUUUUGAGGGACGGUCCACUGUCAGAAUGGAAGAAAGCACCAUUGCCAGAGGGAUCAGGAACACUAUGCACUCCUUGUGAACACAUAGUAUAUUGGAUCAUGCUGUGACCACCGUGUUGUGCUCUGGGCGCUGUUCUCUGUCCUUGGAGGGUUCCCAGUCUCAACCCCAAAGGAAGACAUCAUGCCCGUCACUCCCGCUUUCCUCGGCAGAUACUGAACUUGGCCUUGAGGCUGUGCAUUUAUUACUUCAUAACACUCCUGAUGAAUGACUGUAAUGCCAGAAAACGUGUUGAGUGCCACUAGAUGCCAACAGUUACUUGUUUCUAUUAUAUAUGUUCUUUAAUCAAUUUAAUUUUAUCAUGUACAUAUACCAUGUCUAUUUCCUAUCU